rnacentral:ncRNA from 2 species
AAACAAUGUAAAGCGCCAGAACUAAGAAUUCUUAGUUGACGAGGAUGGGGAGUUAUCGAGACUUCGGCGGGUGCCCCACGGUAUCGCACUACCGUUAACAGCUAGCAAAACUAUGGAGAGAUUCGUAGGACAAAUCUAGCUUGGUGUUAAAG